rnacentral:lncRNA from 1 species
GGUCCGAGGUAGCAGUCCUCAGAAGGAUCUGGUUCAGGUUGGGGUCUGCGGUGGGACGGGAGGACAGGCCUCUUCAGCUGUGGUGAGUGUGACUCAGCCCGAGGAAGCAAGGGCUGCUCCUGGGAUGCCGGCCUCUGCGUCUCCCUGAGCACCUUCCUCCCCACCUCCUCACGGAGCUGGCACACGGGGCCCUGCAGCACCCUGCGGAUGGAUGGAGGAGCAAAGCAGGCAUACUGCUAUACCCUGGGAACAAGAAGAGUCAGACCCAGCUA